ensembl:lincRNA
AUGGACAGGAAAAGGUUGCCUCCGCUUCUGACUGGGUGUGCAGCACAAGCUCCUGGCAGGCCUCACACCCCCUACUUAGCACCUGUCAAUCUCCUGUCCUCUGUGAAAGAGCCUGCAUUUCUCCCUGCUGGGCCCGCCACUUCUCCAGGAUUUUUUCAGUGCUCUGUGUCCAAGUCUUUCGGCUGCUGGAAGUGUGGGAAUGGGAAGUCAGCUGUAGCCAUGGCUACAAAUAAUUCACCUUUCCAGCAGCCUGCGGGUUUUCUUCUUACCAGUACAACAACAAGACCAGACCAGGUUCACAGAGGUUUCCAGAGCGCAGUGACAGUGCCCACUCCUGGAAGAACACAAACCUGGGGAGAGAAUCCACCAAACUGUUUUAGUUUCAGAGACAGAUACUCAGCUACAAUGGAGGAUGAAAGCCAGACCCAUACUCAACUGGGCCUAGGAUUUCACUGAAACCAAGAGGAACCUGCAUCCAAACUGGAUUCUAGAAGAAAAGGAGAAGUAAGGACACUGAAGAGUGCAAGGCCCUUGGGGACUGAAGCACUCAAGCAGUUCCAUUUGCUGCAGUUCUCUGUGUCCCUGGACCGUGGGGAUCAGUUUUAAUCCCUCAGUGAAUAAGCCAGCUGCUCCUUCCCUGACUGUGUUCUUCAUCGUGCAUGGGGUCUCCUUGCUGUUAGGCUGCCUCCUGAGCCUGCACCUGCUGCCUCCGUGUGUCUUGGCUUUCUUCCUCUACUCAGAGCUUUUUGUGAACAUGGCUUGGUCUUCCCCUAAACUCCACUCCUCUGUUUGCCAAUGCUUUUCUUCUGACCCAAUGCUCAAAAUCCUAACUGUAAAACCUCAGGGAGAUGAUCUUAGGCAUUUGAGGAAGAACCUUAGUUGGUAAACUAACUUCUCUAUCGUCAUUCCUCAGGUCUCUCCACUGCCUCUUACUCACUACCUCAAGAUCCUUGAUUGGAAAAAGCAAAUGAGGGUCUGGAAAAAGAUCAUUGCCUCAGAAGACUUGAGGAGAAAACGUGUGAUUAGAAUAGGUGUCUGUUUUCUGCGAAUGUGAGCACCAUUAUGCUUAGGCAUCAUUUCCAAGCAAAAAGAAUCCAUGUUCAAAAUGUCCAAGUUGUUGUCUCCCAGGAAAACACAGCUGUUGAGUGAUGGUCCAAGGCCACUGGAAGUGUAGCAGGACUGGUCACAGACAAAAUCUCUCAGACACCAGUUUUAGGAAGGAAGAGGCUUUAAUCAGCUGGGAGCAUCGGUAGACUUGGGUCUCAAGAUCUGAGCUCCCCGAAGUCAAGAUUCCUGUCCCUUUUAAGGGCUUACAGCUCUAAGGGGUCCACAUGAAAGGGUCAUGAUACAUUGUGCAAGCAGGGGCUAUGUGAUGGGGGCUGCAUGCACUGGUUAUCAGAACAGAACAGAACCAAACAGGGAGUUACACAAUGCUUCCUUAUACAUUAUCUGGAAUCUAUAGAUAACAUAAGCGAUUAGGUCAGGGGUCGAUCUUUAACUACCAGGCCUGGGGUGUGGUGCCGGGCUGUUUGACUAUUGAAUUUCACUUCAGCCUUUUCUUUAACUCCUACUUUUUUCUUUGCUUUGAGGCAGAAAUUAGGCAGAAGACAAUAUGAGAGGUGGUCUCCUUCCUUAUUUCCCCCCUUUGAGAAUCUCACUUAUUAGUGGGAGUUCUCAUCUUCAUCCUCACUAUCUAGGUUUUCUUGUAAGACAGAUCAAUAGUAAUGCAUGUAGUACACUUGUGCUGAAGUAUUUUGAUGGACUAAGGUAGUAACAAAACUUUUCAUUACUUGAAGGAGCAAGAGCAGCCCACAGGGAAGCAAAAAGCCGUUUUUUUUUUUUUUUUUUUGGACUUAGGAUAGUUCAGAACUGGUGAGGUGUGCUCACAAUGAGGUUUCCUCUAAAAGUUAUUUUUCUACUUUCUUCUGUUAGCAAAGCCGUUGCCACUACAGAUUGAAUGUAUUUGGGCCAUCCACAGGGUACUGGGUUAAGGAUUUUUGAUAGGAAAGGCUACGGGUUGUCAGUGGCUUCAGUGCUUUCAGGCUACGCCCUUGUUUACACUGACAACAAGGUAGUAUUGGAGUGUUAUAGGGUCACGGAGAAGACCUUUAUCAAUUAAAGGUUUAAAUUUACCUUGGCUUUUAAAGGAGUAGGGUACACUGUUUUUUUUCUUAACUACUUGUAUAUCUCUCUCUUUCUCUCUUUGACUUUCUGUCUCUCUCUAUUUGACUUUCCUUUUGUCUCUGUCUCUUCUUCUCUCUGCCUGUUUCUCUCUCUCACUCUUUCACUCCUUCUUCGUCUGUCUCUUCCUCUCUCUCCCUUCUUCUCUCUCUUCGCCUCUUUUCCUCUCUCUCUCAUCUACUCUGGGUGGUCUAGGGGUGUGUGUCCUGUGGAGGCUCAGGUGCUGUGGGCUCAGGAGUGGGGAGUGUCUCUUCUUGGUAAGCGGGGGCACCACUGGUGCCACUUCCUGCCAUGCAUCCUCUGAUGCUGGGUCAGACAGAACCUUAGGAGCUGACUUCUCUCAGCAGGUGGAGCAAGAUCCCCCCUGGCUAUCUGUCCCUUUGCCACUAACUGCUGCUGCCUGGCCUCUCAACCACUGUGGGGAGGGGGGUCUAAAACUAGCUGCAACCAAGUAUCUAUGUAUGGAAACUGAUCUGGGUGUCCUGAUUUACCAGUUACUUUGUGCCAUACCUUUGAUACUAGGGACCUGUCUAGGCUUCCUUCUGAUGGCCAUCCCACCUCUAAUGCUGGCCAGUCUGUCUCACACAAAGCCUCAAGCUAUCCAGGUGUCAUAGCAAUUCCAUAGUCCCCAUUGGAUCCUUUCUUGAAAUUCUUCAACAUAGUUCCUAAUGGGGUAUGCUUACUCUGUGUUUUACCCAUUUUCCUCUCUCAGGAGACAAAACACUCUUACCACAAAGAGGGAAGGGAAAAGGGGAAAAAAGUCACUCACUCACCAAGCGAUUCACACCAGAUCAAAAUUAAAACUAAAACCAAAGGACGGAUAAGGAGUUACUCAUUCAUCAAGCAAUUUGAGCCAAGUCAGAACCGAAAUCAAAGCCAAAACAGUUCAAAUCCAAAGGUCAGAACUGAAAUCAAAACCAAAACAGUUCAAAUCCAGUCAAAAUCAAAACCAAAACCAAAGUGCUGAUAAUACAGACAAGCUGUGGGUGAUCAGGCCACACUGCCACUCAGAUGGAGUAGGCAAGUUCCAAGACUGGUCUUAACCGUUUUCCAGAUGUCAGGACUUCAAGCACCAAUUCCUUCCCAGUGUUCAGUCACUGCGUUAAUCCUUCACAGGGGUCUGCUGUGCACUCCUGUGAUGAGGCGUUCCACCUGGGCAGUUGCCUACCCAGGAGUGCUCUCAGGAUCCAUUUUGCUUAAGCUGGCCGGAGUCCCCCACAGGGAUGCUCUGCAGGGCAGGCCUAAGCCGCCUAAGGGGCUGCCUCGACCAUCUGUUAAUCACCUCACUUCCCGGUCAGGGAACCAAGAUAUGUAACAGGACCAGUCACAGACAAAACCUCUCAGACACCAGUUUUAGGAAGGAAGAGGCUUUAAUCAGCUGGGAGCAUUGGUAGACUCACAUCUCAAGAUCAGAGCUCCCUGAAAUCAAGAUUCCUGUCCCUUUUAAGGGCUUACAACUCUAAAGGGUCCACGUGAAAGGGUCAUGAUAUAUUGUGCAAGUGCGGGCUAUGGGAUGGGGGCUGCAUGCACCAGUGAUCAGAACAGAACAGAACCAAACAGGGAGUUACACAAUGCUUCCUCAUACAAUGUCUGGAAUCCGUAGAUAACAUAAACGAUUAGGUCAGGGGUUGAUCUUUAACUACCAGGCCUGGGGUGGGUGUGGUGCCAGGCUGUUUGACUAUUGAAUUUCACUUCUGCCUUUUGUUUAACUCUUAUUUUUUCUUUUCUUUGAGGCAGAAAUUAGGCAAAAGACAAUAUGUGAGGUGGUCCCCUUCCUUAGAAGGGCUGAGCGGGGAUUACAGAAUCUCAAAUGCCAAGAUCUUACGUGCAAAUCAUGCCCAAUGCUGUAAAUAUUAUGCGCUACCAAAGGCUACUUACUUGAAUCCUACCAAGAAACAUUAAGCAUUAUGAAACUUCUUUUAAAAUAUUGUUUUACAUUAUAAAAUAGAAUACAAUGUAAAAAUAUUUAUGUUAAAUAAUUAUAAUAAUUAAACUAUGUGAAAUGAGUAAUAUAUUUUAUUUUAUUUUUUAUUUAUUUUUUUUAAUUUUUUUUUUUGAGACGAAGUCUCACCCUGUCACCCAGGCUGGAGUGCGGUGGCUGGAUCUCAGCUCACUGCAAGUUCCGCCUCCCAGGUUUAUGCCAUUCUCAUGCCUCAGCCUCCC